rnacentral:tRNA from 1 species
AGGUGCUUGUUAGAGCUUUCUAGUUUAAGUAGUGUAUAUGCACGUUUGAUUUUCAGUCUUUCAG